GAUGAACGCUGACAGAAUGCUUAACACAUGCAAGUCUUUGGCGAAGCUGUGCUUGCACAGCCUAGCCAAGGCGGACGGGUGAGUAACGCGUAAGGAACUUGCCCUGCAGUCAGGGAUAACAGACGGAAACGACUGAUAAGACCUGGUAAAGUCAGGCGGACUCAUGUCCAGCCUGAUGAAAAGAGAUGCUGCAGGAGAGCCUUGCGUCCUAUUAGCUUGUUGGUGGGGUAACGGCCCACCAAGGCGAUGAUAGGUAGCCGGCCUGAGAGGGUGGACGGCCACAAGGGGACUGAGAUACGGCCCUUACUCCUACGGGAGGUAGCAGUGGGGAAUAUUGGACAAUGGGGGCAACCCUGAUCCAGCAAUUCUGUGUGCACGAUGAAGGUUUUCGGAUUGUAAAGUGCUUUCAGCAGGGAAGAAAAAAAUGACGGUACCUGCAGAAGAAGCGACGGCUAAAUACGUG
rnacentral:rRNA from 1 species